rnacentral:rRNA from 1 species
AGUGAACGCUGGCGGUAGGCCUAACACAUGCAAGUCGAACGGCAGCACAGUAAGAGCUUGCUCUUACGGGUGGCGAGUGGCGGACGGGUGAGGAAUACAUCGGAAUCUACUUUUUCGUGGGGGAUAACGUAGGGAAACUUACGCUAAUACCGCAUACGACCUACGGGUGAAAGCAUGGGAUCUUCGGACCUUGCGCGAUUGAAUGAGCCGAUGUCGGAUUAGCUAGUUGGCGGGGUAAAGGCCCACCAAGGCGACGAUCCGUAGCUGGUCUGAGAGGAUGAUCAGCCACACUGGAACUGAGACACGGUCCAGACUCCUACGGGAGGGAGCAGUGGGGAAUAUUGGACAAUGGGCGCAAGCAUGAUACAGCCAUCCCGCGUGGGUGAAGAAGGCCUUCGGGUUGUAAAGCCCUUUUGUUGGGAAAGAAAAGCAGCAGGUUAAUACCCAGCUGUUCUGACGGUACCCAAAGAAUAAGCACCGGCUAACUUCGUG